GAUGAACGCUGGCGGCGUGCCUAAUACAUGCAAGUCGAGCGAACAGACGAGGAGCUUGCUCCUCUGACGUUAGCGGCGGACGGGUGAGUAACACGUGGAUAACCUACCUAUAAGACUGGGAUAACUUCGGGAAACCGGAGCUAAUACCGGAUAACAUAUUGAACCGCAUGGUUUAACAGUGAAAGACGGUUUUGCUGUCACUUAUAGAUGGAUCCGCGCCGCAUUAGCUAGUUGGUAAGGUAACGGCUUACCAAGGCAACGAUGCGUAGCCGACCUGAGAGGGUGAUCGGCCACAUUGGAAGUGAGACAGGGUCCAGAGUCCUACGGGAGGCAGCAGUAGGGAAUCUUCCGCAAUGGGCGAAAGCCUGACGGAGCAACGCCGCGUGAGUGAAGAAGGUCUUCGGAUCGUAAAACUCUGUUAUUAGGGAAGAACAAAUGUGUAAGUAACUAUGCACGUCUUGACGGUACCUAAUCAGAAAGCCACGGCUAACUACGUG
rnacentral:rRNA from 1 species